CCUCGAGAGCGCGGGUUCACGCGAGUCGCACUUGUAUUUGAUAGGGGCGCGUGCUGGCGGUGUCAACAUCACAGGAUUUUAAUUGACUUUUGGAGAUGAGCUGGAGUACACAAAGGAGCCACCAAAUGCUAUCAAGAACUCAUCAGCCCAGACGUUUUGUCCACGCGCGUGGUUUUAGCUGUCAACUUGGAUAUUGUAAAACAAAAUCAUCCUUAAUGUUCUGCAGAAAAAGUCACCAACAUCAUAGACGGCCUGAUGAGCUUUGCCAAGUGGAUUCGUGUUUAAUUGGUCCCUUGAUGCCACAUUGGACAGGUACUUGGACGGAAAAAAUGGGGUUUUAUGACACAAUGGAGAGCAAACGCUGGCAGAAUUUACACACUUGGAUUGAACUAUUCCUUCAAG
ensembl:lincRNA